rnacentral:lncRNA from 1 species
GGAACCACUAGAGGCGGAGGUUUCGGAAGAUAUUUCAAACAAAGACCCUAAAAAUCCUGGAGAAAUCAGGCAGGACAAGAGGCGAAAGGUUUGCGGGGGACCAAACCAGAGGAAUGCGGUAGAAGAAAAAUGGAGGAGAAAGGGCACCUAGAUGGCAAGAAGAGAAACGAAAGUUUUGGGACUAACCUAGAUCGCUCCGAAGGAUGCAGAGAGGCGAGGAUAGGGAUGACUUGAAGAACGCUUAGGGCCAAGGUGGAUGCCAAAGAGGGUCAGAGCUCUCG